rnacentral:rRNA from 1 species
GAUGAACGCUAGCUACAGGCUUAACACAUGCAAGUCGAGGGGAAACGAUAUUGGAAGCUUGCUUCCGAUAGGCGUCGACCGGCGCACGGGUGAGUAACGCGUAUCCAACCUGCCCACCACUUGGGGAUAACCUUGCGAAAGUAAGACUAAUACCCAAUGACGUCCAUAGAAGACAUCUGAAAUGGAUUAAAGAUUUAUCGGUGAUGGAUGGGGAUGCGUCUGAUUAGCUUGUUGGCGGGGUAACGGCCCACCAAGGCGACGAUCAGUAGGGGUUCUGGGAGGAAGGGCCCCCACAUUGGACAUGAGACACGGUCCAAACUCCUACGGGAGGCGGCGGUGAGUAAUAUUGGUCAAUGGGCGAGAGCCUGAACCAGCCAAGUAGCGUGCAGGAUGACGGCCCUAUGGGUUGUAAACUGCUUUUAUAAGGGAAUAAAGUGAGCCUCGUGAGGCUUUUUGCAUGUACCUUAUGAAUAAGGACCGGCUAAUUCCGUGCCAGCAGCCGCCGUAA